rnacentral:rRNA from 1 species
UACGAAGGGGGCUAGCGUUGUUCGGAAUUACUGGGCGUAAGGCGCACGUAGGCGGAUACUUAAGUUAGGGGUGAAAUCCCAGAGCUCAACUCUGGAACUGCCUUUAAUACUGGGGUAUCUCGAGUCCGGAAGAGGUGAGUGGAAUUCCGAGUGUAGAGGUGAAAUUCGUAGAUAUUCGCAGAACACCAGUGGCGAAGGCGGCUACUGGCCGGUCUGACGCUGAGGCGCGAAAGCGUGGGGAGCAAACAG